rnacentral:lncRNA from 1 species
CACGUCGCAACAAGCAUUCACAUCGCAACAAGCAUUCACGUCGCAACAAGUAUUCACAUCGCAACAAGCAUUCACGUCGCAACAAGCAUUCACGUCUCAACAAGCAUUCACGUCGCAACAAGCAUUCACGUCGCAACAAGCAUUCACGUCGCAACAAGCAUUCACAUCGCAACAAGCAUUCACGUCUCAACAAGCAUUCACGUCGCAACAAGUAUUCACGUCUCAACAAGCAUUCACGUCGCAACAAGCAUUCACGUCUCAACAAGCAUUCACGUCUCAACAAGCAUUCACAUCGCAACAAGCAUUCACGUCGCAACAAGCAUUCACAUCGCAACAAGCAUUCACGUCGCAACAAGCAUUCACGUCUCAACAAGCAUUCACGUCGCAACAAGUAUUCACGUCGCAACAAGCAUUCAC